GAUGAACGCUGGCGGCGUGCCUAAUACAUGCAAGUCGAGCGAACAGACGAGGAGCUUGCUCCUCUGACGUUAGCGGCGGACGGGUGAGUAACACGUGGAUAACCUACCUAUAAGACUGGGAUAACUUCGGGAAACCGGAGCUAAUACCGGAUAAUAUAUUGAACCGCAUGGUUCAAUAGUGAAAGACGGUUUUGCUGUCACUUAUAGAUGGAUCCGCGCCGCAUUAGCUAGUUGGUAAGGUAACGGCUUACCAAGGCAACGAUGCGUAGCCGACCUGAGAGGGUGAUCGGCCACACUGGAACUGAGACACGGUCCAGACUCCUACGGGAGGAAGCAGUAGGGAAUCUUCCGAAAUGGGCGAAAGCCUGACGGAGCAACGCAGCGUGAGUGAUGAAGGUCUUCGGAUCGUAAAACUCUGUUAUUAGGGAAGAACAAAUGUGUAAGUAACUAUGCACGUCUUGACGGUACCUAAUCAGAAAGCCACGGCUAACUACGUG
rnacentral:rRNA from 1 species